UUUUGCUUCAAAUGUCAAUUGACUCCUCUCACUCAUAGUUGUACAAAUUACAGGGCUUUUUUUUAAUUGUCAUAAAACAUAUACAUUAUUCAUCUAUUCAGUUUCAUCUGAAGAGAAUCCAACAAAGAAGAAAUUUUAUUUUCCAAUAAAAUAUUAAAGCUGCUUUACCCCACAAGAGACAGAGCAGAAAUUCCAUCCAUGAUCUAUAAAUCUAUGCGAAAACAAUACACAGUUCUGGCCAAAAGAAGUUAAAACAAAUGUGAAAAAUAAGCGACAUCCAGAAACUUCAGCAGCUCCCUUCUGUCCUAUGCCUCAAGGUACCAGAGAGGGAAAAAGACCCCCAGGAGAGGCUGUGAGGAAACCUGAACUGCAAACCCACCACGAUGUCUUCCUGGGAAAGGCAAGUUGGUAAAGAAAGAUGUGAACUCUAUUUCAGGGUAGUAUGUUUUUUUCAUUUGCUUCCAAGACUUUGAUGGAAUGACUUGAGAGGAAAAGUUCACAAUUACUAGAAAGAACCUAAAAGGACAUGAGAGAUGAAACCGUUGCAGUAUUUUUGAAAUAAAUGUUUUCCUGCAAGAGCAGAGUCAUGGGCGGGGUGUCUGUGUAAUAUCUACUCAACACAGCCGAAGGGUAAGAGGAAAUCUUGGUAAGCCGACUUCCAAGUCUUAAUGGGGAACCAUAC
rnacentral:lncRNA from 1 species